rnacentral:rRNA from 1 species
UACGUAGGAUGCAAGCGUUGUUCGGAAUUACUGGGCGUAAAGAGUACGUAGGCGGUUUGAUAAGUCUGAAAUUAAAGACUGAGGCUUAACCUCAGGAAUGUAUCGGAAACUAUCAGACUAGAGGACAAUAGAGGGAGUCGGAAUUCUCAGUGUAGCGGUGAAAUGCGUAGAUAUUGGGAAGAACACCAGUGGCGAAAGCGGACUCCUGGGUUGUUACUGACGCUGAGGUACGAAAGCGUGGGGAGCAAACGGG